rnacentral:rRNA from 1 species
GGGCGUGCGGGCGAUACGGGCAGACUAGAGUACUGCAGGGGAGACUGGAAUUCCUGGUGUAGCGGUGGAAUGCGCAGAUAUCAGGAGGAACACCGGUGGCGAAGGCGGGUCUCUGGGCAGUAACUGACGCUGAGGAGCGAAAGCGUGGGGAGCGAACAGGAUUAGAUACCCUGGUAGUCCACGCCGUAAACGGUGGGUACUAGGUGUGGGUUUCCUUCCUUGGGAUCCGUGCCGUAGCUAACGCAUUAAGUACCCCGCCUGGGGAGUACGGCCGCAAGGCUAAAACUCAAAGAAAUUGACGGGGGCCCGCACAAGCGGCGGAGCAUGUGGAUUAAUUCGAUGCAACGCGAAGAACCUUACCUGGGUUUGACAUGCACAGGACGCCGGCAGAGAUGUCGGUUCCCUUGUGGCCUGUGUGCAGGUGGUGCAUGGCUGUCGUCAGCUCGUGUCGUGAGAUGUUGGGUUAAGUCCCGCAACGAGCGCAACCCUUGUCUCAUGUUGCCAGCACGUAAUGGUGGGGACUCGUGAGAGACUGCCGGGGUCAACUCGGAGGAAGGUGGGGAUGACGUCAAGUCAUCAUGCCCCUUAUGUCCAGGGCUUCACACAUGCUACAAUGGCCGGUACAAAGGGCUGCGAUGCCGUGAGGUGGAGCGAAUCCUUUCAAAGCCGGUCUCAGUUCGGCUCGGGGUCUGCAACCCGACCCCGUGAAGUCGGAGUCGCUAGUAAUCGCAGAUCAGCAACGCUGCGGUGAAUACGU